UUUAUGGAGAGUUUGAUCCUGGCUCAGGAUGAACGCUGGCGGCGUGCCUAAUACAUGCAAGUCGAGCGAACAGACGGGGAGCUUGCUCCCCCGACGUUAGCGGCGGACGGGUGAGUAACACGUGGGUAACCUACCUAUAAGACUGGAAUAACUCCGGGAAACCGGGGCUAAUGCCGGAUAACAUGUUGAACCGCCAGGUCCUACAGUGGAAGACGGUCUUGCUGUCACUUAUAGAUGGACCCGCGCCGGAUUAGCUAGUUGGUAAGGUAACGGCUUA
rnacentral:rRNA from 1 species